CACACACACACACAUUCAUGCUCAUAUAUGUGUAAUUUAUGUAUGUAUGUGUAUAUAUAUAUAUAUAUAUAUAUAUAUUAUGAAUUACACAUAUGUGAGCAUGAAUGACUGUGUGUGUAUG